rnacentral:misc_RNA from 1 species
GAUGAAGAACGUAGCGAAAUGCGAUAAGUAAUGCGAAUUGCAGAAUUUCCGUGAGUCAUCGAAUCUUUGAACGCACAUUGCGCCCCUUGGUAUUCCGAGGGGCAUGCCUGUUCGAGCGUCAUUUCAACCCUCAAGCACAGCUUGGUCUUGGGCUUCGCCGCUAACCCGGCGGGUCUUAAAAUCAGUGGCGGUGCCGUCGGGCCCUGAGCGCAGUAAUCUCUCUCGCUAUAGGGUCCCGGCGGAUGCUGGCCAGUAACCCCCAAUUUUCUAUGGUUGACCUCGGAUCAGGUAGGGAUACCCGCUGAACUUAAGCAUAUCAAUAAGCGGAGGA